rnacentral:rRNA from 1 species
AGAGUUUGAUCAUGGCUCAGAACGAACGCUGGCGGCAGGCCUAACACAUGCAAGUCGAACGAAGCCUUCGGGCUUAGUGGCGGACGGGUGAGUAACGCGUGGGAACGUGCCCUUCUCUACGGAAUAGUCCUGGGAAACUGGGUUUAAUACCGUAUACGCCCUUCGGGGGAAAGAAUUUCGGGGAAGGAUCGGCCCGCGUUGGAUUAGGUAGUUGGUGGGGUAAUGGCCUACCAAGCCGACGAUCCAUAGCUGGUUUGAGAGGAUGAUCAGCCACACUGGGACUGAGACACGGCCCAGACUCCUACGGGAGGCAGCAGUGGGGAAUCUUAGACAAUGGGGGCAACCCUGAUCUAGCCAUGCCGCGUGAGUGACGAAGGCCCUAGGGUCGUAAAGCUCUUUCGCCAGGGAUGAUAAUGACAGUACCUGGUAAAGAAACCCCGGCUAACUCCGUGCCAGCAGCCGCGGUAAUACGGAGGGGGUUAGCGUUGUUCGGAAUUACUGGGCGUAAAGCGCGCGUAGGCGGACUAUUAAGUCAGAGGUGAAAUCCCGGGGCUCAACCCCGGAACUGCCUUUGAUACUGGUAGUCUUGAGUUCGAGAGAGGUGAGUGGAAUUCCGAGUGUAGAGGUGAAAUUCGUAGAUAUUCGGAGGAACACCAGUGGGCGAAGGCGGCUCACUGGCUCGAUA